AUGCGCAGUGCGGAGAGCGGAGGGUGCGCGCCGCCGGGCGGGCGGGGCGCGGGGGCGCGGGGACGCCGGUCCGCGGGGCCCUCAGGAGCCGACCAGCACCUCCAUGAUGUGGUCCAGCUCCGUGAGGUCCAUCUUGAAGGGCUGACUCGGGGCGACCGGCUGGCUGCUGUACGGCGCCAGCGUCUUGAGGAGGUCGUCCGCCGACACCGACACGGGCGCCAUCUUGGAGGCCGUCCCCGCCGCCGACGUGCAGGGGUCGAAGUCGUACAUGGACGUGUCGAUGUCGGCGAACAGGAUGUCGUCCAGGGUCAGAUACACACGUGCUUCGGAAAAGAGCCAACCACCUCAUAUCUCAGACCUUGACAUUUGGGAAUGGCGUGAGUUUUAACACCUGCCCUGCCUCACCUGCCGCUCCCUGCCUACGCCGCCUCCUUGCCUGCUCUGGCCUUACUGAGGACUCCCCCGGCCGGCUGCACCUUCUGGAGAGUGUCCCUUCCUUUCAGAACUUCUACCGUCUAAACAGAACAACUGUUCUGUUUAGUUCUGUUUCAGUACAACUGCAAGCCCACUGGCCUUUGCCUCACAGAUCUCACUUUCUAACCAUUUAAUCAGGAAAGUUGUUCUGCUGUCCAGACCAGAAGACGUGGUUCUCAUUAAGCCGGGCCUGUGCUUGCUCCCCCAGCCCGUCUGCAGCACUUACCCACAGGCGAGUGUUAAUCCUCUCCUGGGUGCCACUCACUGAUAUCUUCAUAUACAAGUAGUUUGUACUUAUUCAAUUUUUCUUCUAAAAGCGACUUGCCUUUUACUGAAUUGCUUCAGCUGAUUUUGAUGGAGCCUCAUUCAGUCUUUAUAUUUGUUUACUCAUUCUGCAUCUAUGCUGUCGUGGGCACUCUGCCAGAAAGUGGGUAGUCCUGCCAAUGAAUAAAGCCUGGUCUUCAAGGGGCUGAAUAUCA
rnacentral:lncRNA from 1 species